GCCCCUCCCUCCUGGGGGGGGCUGGCGUGCUCCGUUGCUGCCCCUCUCUGCUGCCGCCGCCACCGGGAAGCAAGAUGAAUGGAAGGACUGAUUUUGGAACAGAACAGAAUGCAGAAGUCUCACCACCACUCCCCAACAUUGGAAUGGAUUACAUACCAACAGAAGAAGAAAGAAAAGUCUUUGCUGAAUGUAAUCGAGAGAGCUUCUGGUACAGAUCUGUUCCCUUUUCUGCAACUAGUGUGUUGGUUACUCAGGGAUUAAUUACUAAAGGAAUUCUUUCCAGUCAUCCCAAAUAUGGUUCUAUCCCUAAAAUUGCAUUUGCUUGCAUAAUGGGAUAUUUUGCUGGAAAAAUUUCCUAUGUGAAAACUUGCCAAGAGAAGUUUAAACGACUUGAAAAUUCUCCUCUUGGAGAAGUUCUGCAAAUGGGACCAGCACGUCGAUUUGCAUCACCUGGGUAUUUUUCACAAAAGUCAGAAUUUGAUUCAAAAAUGCCUCCACAGUCAUCUUUUGGAACAUCUCCAACUUCUGAAAGCAGUGCAAAAGAAAGUGCUUUUCCUCCUUAUGAACCAGUCCCCUUCAGUGCUUCCAUGAAUGAAUCCUCUCCUACUGGUAUUACUGAUUAUAAUGCCCAAGGACCUGAUACAAUUGUGGAAGAAAGUCCUAAGAGAAAAGUUGUUACAUAUGAAGAAUUAAGGAAUAAGAACAGAGAAACAUAUGAAGUAACCUUGUCACAAAAAGGUGAUACCCCACUUCGGUCUGUGCAAAAAAGAGCACCAAAAAAAAAACAAGGGAAAGUAAACCAAUAUGGAGAUACUUGGGAUGAGUGAAAAAAAUUGUCAUCUACUGAAGAGCGUUUGCGUUGAGUCUACUGAAGAGAAUUUCAGCUAACCAGCGUCAUCUAGAUGGUCAUGAGCAUCUGCAGGAAAGUGCAGAAGCAGCUUCCAUAAGCAUAUUCAAAAGAAGAAACUUGGGUUUUUAGUAGUGUGGCUUAACAGAAGGUUUAAAAUUAAUUAUGGACUUUAAGGUUAAUAUUGUAUCAGUGUACAUACACUGCUUGGGAAACCAGAUGAAUGAAGGUACUGGACUGUGAUUUUAUAAUUUAUAAAAUCGUUUAUAAAAAUUGGUUAAACUACUCUUAAAGUAUCGUCAAAAGACUCUGAUGCACUGAAAUGGGCAUAGACAGAUCAAGUACUAUAUGUGUGUUUGUGCACAUAUGGGCAAAGCAACCAAAACGUUAAGUAUUAAAACCCCAUGU